UGAAUACGAGACGCUAAGGCGUCGAAGUAGUGUAUGUCAUACUUCCAAGAAAAGCUUGCACUGUCAUAGAUAAAAAACGCCUGUACCAUAACCGACACAGGUGGGUAGGUAGAGUAUACUAAGGGGCGCGAGAUAACUCUCUCUAAGGAACUCGGCAAAAUAACUCCGUAACUUCGGGAGAAGGAGUGCCUUAUUCGUAAGGUUGCAAUAACAAGAUCCAAGCAACUGUAUAUCAAAAACACAGGUCUCCGCUAAGUCGUAGGACGAUGUAUGGGGGCUGACGCCUGCCCAGUGCCAGAAGGUUAAAGAAGUUGGUUAGCAAUUGCGAAGCUGAUAACUGAAGCCCUGGUGAACGGCGGCCGUAACGAUAACGGUCCUAAGGUAGCGAAAUUCCUUGUCGGGUAAGUUCCGACCCGCACGAAAGGCGUAAUGAUUUGGAUACUGUCUCGGAGAGGGGCUCGGUGAAAUAGACUUGUCUGUGAAGAUGCGGACUACCUGCACCAGGACAGAAAGACCCUAUGAAGCUUUACUGUAACUUGAAAUUGAAAUUGGACUUUAUUCGCGCAGUAUAGGUGGGAGGCGUUGAUUAUAAUCUUGUGGGAUUAUUGGAGCCAUCAGUGAGAUACCACUCUUGUAAUGUUAGAUUUCUAACUUUGAAUCAUCAUCUGGUCAAAGAACAGUUUCAGGCGGGCAGUUUGACUGGGGCGGUCGCCUCCUAAACGGUAACGGAGGCGUACAAAGGUUUCCUCUGAACGGUUAGAAAUCGUAUCUAGAGUGUAAAGGCAUAAGGAAGCUUGACUGUGAGACCUACAAGUCGAGCAGGGACGAAAGUCGGUCUUAGUGAUCUGACGGUACUGAGUGGAAAGGCCGUCACUCAACGGAUAAAAGUUACUCUAAGGAUAACAGGCUGAUCUCCCCCAAGAGUUCACAUCGACGGGGAGGUUUGGCACCUCGAUGUCGGCUCAUCGCAUCCUGGGGCGGUAGUACGUCCCAAGGGUUGGGCUGUUCGCCCAUGAAAGCGGUACGCGAGCUGGGUUCAGAGCGUCGUGAGACAGUUCGGUCCAUAUCCGGUGUAGGCGUUAGAAUAUUGAGAGGAGCCUUCUUUAGUACGAGAGGACCGAGAAGGACAUACCUCUGGUGUACCAGUUAUCGUGCCAACGGUAAACGCUGGGUAGCUAUGUAUGGAGUGGAUAACCGCUGAAAGCAUCUAAGUGGGAAGCCCACCUCAAGAUAAGUAUUCUCA
rnacentral:rRNA from 1 species